rnacentral:tRNA from 1 species
GCCCUCGUAGCUCAGUGGCAGAGCAACCGCCUUGUAAGCGGUAGGUCGACAGUUCGAUUCUAGUCCUGGGGCACCA